UAUAAAUGGAUAUAUAUCUCUUAGGUGUCUCUUGAUUAUGAUAAGAUUAGUUAGUAGUUAUCCAUAACCAUUGAUAUUUAUCUUUAAAUGUGAAAGACUUUCUCUGCAACCCAAUUGUGCCAUUGCUUCCCUAACACCUCAGCAACCCGGUUGUUUCAUUGCUUCCCUAUUGUGCCAUUGAUUCCCUAGAUGUGUUCCCAACAAGCUCCCCACCGUGCCAUUGCUUCCCUACAAGCUCCCCAUCGUGCCACCUGUAACCCUCAUUUCGUUCUCAACAACCAACCCAAAAAAAAGCUUUCUCCACCUCCAAAACUGCCUUCUUGCCCGUGCAACAACCUUUCUGAAACCUAUUAGUCCUACUUUUGCACCCCCACCUUGCAGGACAAGGACUGUAGGUGUAGAUGCAACAAAUUUGGCAUGGAAUGACACCUUUUUUUUUUUUUGGUAGCAGAUUAAUACCGGAGGAGUUGUGAAUCUGGGCGCAGUGCCUACCUUGAUGUGCGUAAGAUUGAUCUGGAUUUGAAACUGCCUCUAAAUCCACCUCUAAAAAUGGCCUGUGGAAAUGGCCGAUGUGAACUAUCUGUCGAGUCGUUCCGUAGAGUCGUUCUUCGACUAUCCGUCGAGUCGUUCUUCGACUAUCCGUCGAGUCGUUCUUCGACUAUCCGUCGAAUCGUUCUUCGACUAUUAGUCGAGUCGUUCUUCGACUAUUAGUCGAGUCGGUCUUCGACUAUCCGUCGAGUCGUUCUUCGACUAUCCGUCGAGUCAUUCUUCGACUAUCCGCUGAGUCCUUCUUCGACUCUCUACAAAACAGCCUUUGUCUUUGUACUGGCUUGUGUUCUGGACUGCAAGCUGCUGAAUCUGUCUCAAAUCGUCAUUGAGUUCUGUUGGCUCUUCCAAAUAUCAUUUUGUGCUUGUUCUUCAAGCAAGAGACCACUGCUUUUAUUGGUGGUCACACCAUGCACGUGAAGACUUAAAGAUCCAACUCGUUCAUUUCUGCAACUUAUUUUUCAAACUCCAGCUGUGUUAUGUAAAAGCAUCUUGGGUUUGACGAGGAGUAUUAGAGUAUGUUUAUCUUAUUGAUAUGUCAUUACAAAUACAUAUUUGUAUAUGUAUGGAUAUAUAUCUCUUAGGUGUCACUUGAUUAUGAUAAGAUCAGUUAGUAGUUAUCCAUAAUUGCUGGUAUUUAUCUUUAAUUGUUACUGGCUGUAUAUUUAUACAAG
rnacentral:lncRNA from 1 species